AUUUAAGUUAAGGUCUGAAGGGAAAAUUCAAAUUGAUAUAUAAAAAUGAAUACUAAAAUAGUCACUUUUGCUUUCAUUUUCCUUCUGUCAUAUGAGUGUGUCUACUGCAAGAAGAAGAAAGAGAAGAAACAGGUAUUUGCGAUCCCACUUUUACUUGGCGAAACGGCUCUUGGAGGCGCUCUCCUUCAGGGACUUGCAGGAGCUGGAGCUGCAACUGCUGCUUUAUUAACAGGAAAAUUACUAGGAAACCAGCUCAAUCAUGAAUGUUCGACGUCUAUGAAGUGCGCAAAUGGGCAAGGAGAGUGCAGAAACAUUUGUUUUCCUCAUGAGUAUGUGGAUACCAAACACCCAAGCACAGACCACUGUUCCUACCAAGGAUGUGAUUGUUGUCGCUCAUAAAAGAAAUACAAUAUUCGUCAAAAUGAGACUGUUUAAUAAAGAUACCUGACUUG